rnacentral:rRNA from 1 species
CAAUAGCGUAUAUUAAAGUUGUUGCAGUUAAAAAGCUCGUAGUUGGAUUUCUGGUGGGAGCGAUCGGUCUGGCGCUUAGCGCGAGUACUUGCAUCGUCUCCGGCCAUCCUUGGGGAGAGUCUGUCUGGCAUUAGGUUGUCGGGCAGAGGAUCCUCAUCGUUUACUGUGAAAAAAUUAGAGUGUUCAAAGCAGGCUUAUGCCGUUGAAUAUAUUAGCAUGGAAUAAUAAGAUAGGACUUUGGUACUAUUUUGUUGGUUUGCGCACCAAAGUAAUGAUUAAUAGGGACAGUUGGGGGUAUUCGUAUUCCGUCGUCAGAGGUGAAAUUCUUGGAUUUACGGAAGACGAACUACUGCGAAAGCAUUUACCAAGGAUGUUUNCAUUA